AACUUACCUUCAACUGGAAGAUAGCCCCUCGAAAGAGGGAUUAAUACUCCAUAGUAUUACGAAACGGCAUCGUUUUGUAAUUAAAGCUCCGGCGGUUGAAGAUAGGCAUGCGUGACAUUAGCUAGUUGGUGAGGUAACGGCUCACCAAGGCUACGAUGUCUAGGGGAUCUGAGAGGACUAACCCCCACACUGGUACUGAGACACGGACCAGACUCCUACGGGAGGCAGCAGUAAGGAAUAUUGGUCAAUGGAGGCAACUCUGAACCAGCCAUGCCGCGUGCAG
rnacentral:rRNA from 1 species